UACAGAGGUCUCGAGCGUUGUUCGGAUUCAUUGGGCGUAAAGGGUGCGUAGGUGGCGGGGCAAGUCAGGUGUGAAAUCCCGGGGCUCAACCCCGGAACUGCAUUUGAUACUGCCUUGCUCGAGUACUGGAGAGGAGACUGGAAUUUACGGUGUAGCAGUGAAAUGCGUAGAUAUCGUAAGGAAGCCCAGUGGCGAAGGCGAGUCUCUGGACAGUUACUGACACUGAGGCACGAAGGCCAGGGGAGCAAACGGG
rnacentral:rRNA from 1 species